UGCGCUGGCAAGUUGCUUGUUGCGCUGCUCUGGCCUUAGCCACGUCCUCAUCACCUGUGCCGGCCAUCUGAGUGUCCGGCCUUCUCAGUCCUCAAACCCCAAUCAAGAGUGAACAUAGCCCUCACCCCCAAAAAUUUCCUUCGGCCCGUUGGGAAGGGGAAAGGCAGAAGACUUGCACUGACCUUCACAAAGAAGAAGAUCCAAAUGGAUGAAGAUCCAAGCAGAUGAAAAGGCAUUCAACAUCAUUAGGUCAACAAGAAAAUGCAAAUUAACACCACAAUUGAUUUACCACUAUAAAUCAAAACUCUCAACCUCCCACCAUACUGCAACCCGUCUGGAAAACUGGCAGCAUUAUUAAAGCUAAAUAUACAUAUAUGCCCUAUGACCUAGUAGCUCCAUUUCUGGAUAUAUGCCCAAUACAAAUGAAUGCUUAUGUCCAGAGAAAGACAUGUAGAGGAAUGUUCAUGGAAGCUUUAUUUCUAAUGGCUAAAACUAGAAACAAGCCCAAUUCCAUCAACAAUAGAAUGCACAACCAUAUUUUGUUAUACUCAUAAAUUGAAAUACUACCAUAUGUUGUGGAAUACAAUAAUGAAAAAGAACAAACCACUGCUGCAUGCAAGCAUGUGGAUGAAUAUCACAAAUA